UUUUAGAAAAUAAUUUAAAGUCUAAUCUGCCCACUGAUUUUAUAUUAAAGGGCUGCAGUAUAUUGACUGUACAAAGGUAGCAUAAUCAUUAGUCUUUUAAUUGAAGACUUGUAUGAAAGAUUUGAUGAAAUAUAAACUGUCUCUAAGUUAUUUAUAAAAUUUAAUUUUUUAGUUAAAAAGCUAAAAUAAUUUUAAAAGACGAGAAGACCCUAUAGAGUUUUAUAAAUUUAUUAUUUAAGAUUAUAUAUAUAAAUAAAAAUUAAAAUUAAUAAAUUUAUUUUAUUGGGGUGAUAAAAAAAUUAAAAAAACUUUUUUUAAAAAACAAACAAAAAUAAAUGAUUAAAUGAUCCAUAAAUAAUGAUUAUAAGAAAAAAUUACCUUAGGGAUAACAGCGUAAUAUUUUUUUUUAGUACAAAUAAAAAAAAAGUUUGCGACCUCGAUGUUGGCUUAAGAUAAAAUUUAAAUGCAAAAGUUUAAAAUUUU
rnacentral:rRNA from 1 species